AGUCAUUUAUUCAUGAUACUAUAUUACUAUAUUCCUAGCUAGUAUAGGUUUAGUGUUCACUUGAUUGCAGGGCUUGUUAAGUUAUUAAUUAAUCAUACUUGUCACAGCCUUUUCUAACAAAUUUCACUCCUUCUCUAUCUGCUGUAAGUUCUAACAUAACCUUUUUAAUAAAUUGAGAUCAUAAUAUAUAUUUUCUAAAUUAAUUAAGCGAAUGAAUCUAGUCUUCAACCGUGAACACAAAUAGUUAAUUAGUUGUUGCAUGUAUGAUAAAUGUAGUACUCAUGAAGCUACUUAAUUAUAAGGAUAAUUUUAAGUUUUCUUCUCUCUAACAUUCUUCUCUCCAAAUUUUGUUGCUUUAUUCUAAUUAUUUGAAUGGGUUCUUGUUUGACAGUUGACUGAAUAAAAAUUGACAAGAAGGAAGGUAUAAGCUUUUCUUGUUUGAGGUUACUUGCUAAGAUUAAAGCCUCGCUAUCUUUCACUUAAAAUUUCUGAAGGUUUUGAUAAAUUUUACCACCAAUAGAAGCAGGAGGCUAAUCUGAUUCAAUAUGCUCUUAUUGUCAAUUAUCUAUGUUUCCAUCUCAAUGUGUUCCUGUCCUAAAUAACAUUGUUCAUCUUUUGUUGUUUAGGAAGCUUGCAGACAAAAUUGCAGCUUCUGGUUACUAUGUGGUUGUUCCGGACUUCUUUUAUGGUGAACCCUAUGAUCCUCAAAAUACUAAUAGACCUUUAGGAAUUGAGAGUUAGUGAUGGCGUGGGUAUAAAGUCUUUAAUGCAACUUGUGUUAGUGAUUAGAUAAAUAAAAAAAAUAGAAUAAAAGUUACUCACAUAAAUGUUUAAUAAGCAAUAAGCAAUAAGCUACUUCGGACUUGUCUCAGCUGCCAAUAAGGUUAGAAAUCAGUAUCGUUUGUCCAUAUAUGUAUUUGUUGCUGCAAAUCAAUGGCUUAUUGAAUUCUGUUUUUGGCUGCAGUUUUUCUCAUCAAAUGGUUUUCCUUGCCCAAGUCUCUAGAAUCCUCCUGACCACUUUGUAAAAAUUAUUAACAAGGAUUUUGAACAGGUAGGUAGAAUAUGAAUCACUCUAAGAUCUUUACUGAACAACAAUUUAUUUUAAGAGGUGGAGAUGCUUUGAUGUAAAAUACUUGCUAUAUAAGUAGACAAGCAUUUGAUUUUAAAUAACUGCAUUAUUAUUGAUCAUGAUAGUUUAGGUAAGUUAGUUUUAGUUUUAGGCCUGUAAUAUUUUAUAUGUACUCAAAUUGAUUCUUAAUGUAUUAAAAUAACUUGCUGGAGGUGAAGGGUUGGAUCAAAAAAUUAAAAAGAAGAGAUAUGUUGGAGCUGUAGGAAACAGAGUCAUGACUAGUGAAAGAGAUGUGAAACGAUCUGCUCUUCCAAAGGCAAAUGCUGAUUCGAAGAUGCAUUUUUAUGAUACAUAAGGUUUCAGAUUGAAGCCACUUCCUGGAUCUAGUGGAAUCAACAAGUCUAGAGGCUCUUUUGAGCCUUCUACUAUUGGGGUGCGUAAUAUGCUUGCAAGUGAGCAAGAAUGUGGAUCUCUUCAUAGGGACCAUAUAGCUGAGCAGAAAGUAUUGGCAAAGGGAAGCAACAGGUUUUUUGCUCAUCUUGACAUUGCCAUGUUCUAAUAUAUGACUACAAUCUAGUUGCUGAAGAAUUCAAUUAAUAUCUGCAUAAUGGCCCUUGUUGACAUUUAUAUCCUUUUAGAAUUGAUAUUUAUUGGCAAAUUGAUUAAUCAUUGAUGUUGAUUGCUCUUGUAAUUAGAUCCAACAAUCAGGAGGAUUUCCCAGCAUCAUUGAUCUUGAUUAAU